GGAAACUGAAAAGAAAAGUGGAAGGAAAAGGACUGGACUAGCAAGCAAGUAGAAACUCUACACGCAGGAAUGCUUAUCCCUUUCAGAACUAGUGCUUCUUGUUUUUCCUUUUUGCUCUGCUAAAAGUAAAGCUAAGGCUCAGCAUCCUCGAAACAUCUCAGCUAAAAUUGUUUGAAAAAGCUGGCGAAUAUUUAGAAAUUUAGAUGCAGCUUUUCGUAUAUAAAUAUAUGAUCGUCUUGUGCGCAUAAUCACAAUAUAUAUCCCUUCCCUUCACUUCUAAAGAAGCCUUCUUCCCGCCAAGAGCCAUAUUUAUAAUUAAGGUAUGCAAGCAAUUUCUCUUUUCUUGUUUGCUCAAUGGAUGCGAAAUUUAUUUGCCUAUAUAUUAUAUUUCUCAUGAGUAGAUAAAUUAUUUUAUUAAUAAUAUUUAGAAAAAAUUUAGCAUGGGAUCCAACUUUAAGAUGUAUGCCUAUUUAGAUAAGUGAUUAAAAACGAGCUUUAAGUUUUUAAUUUUUAAUUUGAAGUAUUUAGUAAAUAUAACGGUUCAAGCAAUAUUUCACAGUUUAAUAUAAUUCUACACACAUUAUAGAUAAAAUGCUAAUUAAAAUAAAAAUUGGAAAAGCUUUCUAUAUAUCUGUUAAUUGUUUGUUGCCAGAAACGACUCAACAAACUCCAAAACGGACCUUUCCACAGGCAUACUACUUUAAACUGAAUCAAAUUUUCCUGUCGAAUUACUGUUGAAAAUAUUCAUAUAGUAAGGAGGUUUGCAAAGACCAAGUGAUAUAUAGAGGAGUUGAAGCAAAAUGGAAGAAGCAUGCAAGCACGUAGAGAUUGAAUCGGCUGCUGAAAUAGGAAUAAAACUUUUUGUUGCCAGAAGCGACUUUAACAAACUCCAUAAUGGACCUUUUCGUAGGCUUACUUCUGCAAAAUCAAAUCAAAUUUGCCUGUUG
rnacentral:misc_RNA from 1 species